AUUGAACGCUGGCGGCAUGCCUUACACAUGCAAGUCGAACGGUAACAGGUCUUCGGAUGCUGACGAGUGGCGAACGGGUGAGUAAUACAUCGGAACGUGCCCGAGAGUGGGGGAUAACGAGGCGAAAGCUUUGCUAAUACCGCAUACGAUCUCAGGAUGAAAGCAGGGGAUCGCAAGACCUUGCGUUAUUGGAGCGGCCGAUAUCAGAUUAGCUAGUUGGUGGGGUAAAAGCCUACCAAGGCGACGAUCUGUGGCUGGUCUGAGAGGACGACCAGCCACACUGGGACUGAGACACGGCCCAGACUCCUACGGGAGGCAGCAGUGGGGAAUUUUGGACAAUGGGCGCAAGCCUGAUCCAGCCAUGCCGCGUGUGGGAAGAAGGCCUUCGGGUUGUAAACCACUUUUGUCAGGGAAGAAACGCUCUGGGCUAAUACCCUGGGGUAAUGACGGUACCUGAAGAAUAAGCACCGGCUAACUACGUGCCAGCCGCCGCCGUAAAAC
rnacentral:rRNA from 1 species